AGGGCGCAUGAGUACGUAGUCGUCGACCCGAAACCGGGUGAUCUACCCAUGUCCAGGGUGAAGUUCCGGUAACACGGAAUGGAGGCCCGAACCUUUUGGUGUUGAAAAACCAUAGGAUGAGGUGUGGGUAGGGGUGAAAUGCCAAUCGAACUCGGAGAUAGCUGGUUCUCCCCGAAAUAGCUUUAGGGCUAGCCUCGGAGCAGGAGUGAUGGAGGUAGAGCACUGAUUGGGCUAGGGGCCCUCACCGGGUUACCGAACUCAGUUAAACUCCGAAUGCCAUCCACUUUUCCUCCGGGAGUCAGACUGCGAGUGCUAAGAUCCGUAGUCAAAAGGGAAACAGCCCAGACCACCAGCUAAGGUCCCCAAGUAACCGCUAAGUGGGAAAGGAUGUGGAGUUGCCCAGACAACCAGGAUGUUGGCUUAGAAGCAGCCAUCAUUCAAAGAGUGCGUAAUAGCUCACUGGUCAAGUGACUCUGCGCCGAAAAUGUAACGGGGCUAAGCGGUUCACCGAAGCUGUGGAUGUUGCCGAAGGCAACAUGGUAGGGGAGCGUUCCAAGCGGCGUCGAAGCCGCAUCGUGAGAUGCGGUGGAGUGCUUGGAAGUGAGAAUGCCGGUAUGAGUAGCGAAAAGAGGGGUGAGAAUCCCCUCCGCCGUAAGCCUAAGGGUUCCUGAGGAAGGUUCGUCCGCUCAGGGUAAGUCGGGACCUAAGCCGAGGCCGAAAGGCGUAGGCGAUGGACAACAGGUUGAAAUUCCUGUACCACCUGAUUCCGUUUGUACGAUGGGGGGACGCAGGAGGGUAGAGAAUCGCGCGACUGGAUGUGCGCGUCCAAGCGGUGAGGCUGAA
rnacentral:rRNA from 1 species